AUUCAGGACACCUAAAGUAGGCGGAGCUGUUAAGGAUCCGUCUAUAUAUACCAAGGCUGGGCUCUGGUUCAGUCUUUCGUCCAGGCCACACAAUCCAAUAGGAGGCAGAAGACCAUCGUGAAGAAGUCCAAAAACAACAAGAACUUAACUAAAGGCCAUAAGAUGCACCGUCACUCUGAGUCUGCUCAGCCCAUGACUGAGUGUCUAAGGAGAUUAUGCAGCACCACUUGCAGGGACACAUAAAGAUGAAGCAUGAUGGCGCCAGACGUCGACUGGGGCUCCUCAGAGCUCUGAGAGGAACAGCUUUGUUCUCUUGACUCAGACCUGUGUUCUUCUUUGGGUCAAGAGUUAAGUCUGUGGCCAUGAACUGAUGGUGUUUAUGAGGGUGACUAGAUGGCAUCUCCUUUAGCUCAUCCUCCAACACUGAGGAGUUGAAGUGCCAGUUGUGCAGCUGUAUAACUGAGGCAACUCAAGCUAGAUGACACCCCGGCACAAACACUGGACCAGGCAGUUGAAACUGCUACCACGUGUCAGCGCUGGUCGACAUAAGGUCAUCUGGGAAAUGGAGCAGUCUUGACUGUUUAAAAGAUGCUCUCCCAUCACAGCAUCUAAAUGAGUCCGAAACAAGCCUGUCAGUGGGAGGUGUCCUGUAUUGCAUACACAUGGCUUGUACUCAGCUGCUAUAAUGGUUUUAACUGUUGACAUGCAGAUGAAUUUCAUGAAAAUUUAAAUAAAAUUAUUGAUAACAGA